CUUGUUCAAAUUACAUGAUUGGGAAUGAUGAAAUAAAAAUGGUGUUUUGAAAUUUUGAUGUUUGCUAGUUUGUAAAAGUGAAAAUUUGGAAUUGAAUAAAGUACUUUCUGUUUUUUACUCUCCUAUGUUUUCUGGUUAAUCCCAUGGCUUUCUUUAUACUUGUGUAUGGGUGUGUUAUUCUUUCAGGACGUAGAAAUCUUUUUUUUUUGUUGGUCGAUAUAAAUACUAGAUGAUUAAGCAUAUUUGCCUUUUCC
rnacentral:lncRNA from 1 species